GCAGCCAUUAACCCUCAAUUGCUAGGGUUUCCUUUGGCUUACAGCCGACAAGCCAGUGGUUCAACUAGUGGCCGAUGACGCGCGAUCAGCGGCCAGAUCUUUGCCCACGCAAGUCGCAACCAUGGAGAUCCGGUAUGGAGAAACGUUCGUACGGAGAAAGCCGCUCGUGAAAGCUGUGCGUGAGCUCGAUUGCAGCACUGGUGUGUUCUAGAAACAUUUAAGUUUUGGGUAUUUUCAAGCAGUUGGGCCUUUUGGGUCGUUUGUGAAUUGGGAUACGGGACUUUGGAAUUUGGGUGUCUGUUCAAUUGGGUCAAAUUUUAUGUAACUGGGUUAAGUUUAUAUUAAGGGAUUUUGGGUUUAAGUUAUUUUUGGCCCAAA